UACGUAGGGUGCAAGCGUUGUCCGGAAUUAUUGGGCGUAAAGAGCUCGUAGGCGGUUUGUUGCGUCGGCUGUGAAAUCCCGAGGCUCAACCUCGGGUCUGCAGUCGAUACGAGCAAACUAGAGUGUUGCAGGGGAGACUGGAAUUCCUGGUGUAGCGGUGAAAUGCGCAGAUAUCAGGAGGAACACCGGUGGCGAAGGCGGAUCUCUGGGCCGUAACUGACGCU
rnacentral:rRNA from 1 species